UACGUAGGGUGCAAGCGUUGUCCGGAAUUAUUGGGCGUAAAGAGCUCGUAGGCGGUCUGUUGCGUCGGCUGUGAAAACCCGGGGCUCAACUCCGGGCCUGCAGCCGAUACGGGCAGACUAGAGUUCGGCAGGGGAGACUGGAAUUCCUGGUGUAUCGGUGAAAUGCGCAGAUAUCAGGAGGAACACCGGUGGCGAAGGCGGGUCUCUGGGCCGAUACUGACGCUGAUGCGCGAAAGCCAGGGGAGCGAACGGG
rnacentral:rRNA from 1 species